UUGCUAUAGAGAGAACAGGUUUAAUCAAAACCAAAUAAAGAAAGACACUAUUUCGACUUGAUCGGCUCGGCUAUACUGCCCAGCCUUUAAGUAAACUCUUCCUUCUUUUUUCUGUUUUGUUGCCUGAAACGAAAUCAAGAACUUAAAAAGGAGUUAAUCAAGAAUGUCUAGAGCAUGGAAAUUGAGGUUGCUUCUUCUCCUUCAUCUGCUCCUCUUGACUCAACAGGGUGUUAAUUCAGCCUCUGUGAUUAGCUAUCUUCCUGGUUUCGAAGGUCCUCUUCCUUUCCACCUUGAAACUGGCUAUAUUGCUGUUGGUGAGGAAGAGAAAGUUAAACUGUUCUACUACUUCAUCAAAUCAGAGAACAAUCCUGAAGAAGACCCUCUUCUUAUCUGGUUAUCGGGAGGACCUGGUUGCACUUCUCUCUCUGCCCUUGCUUUUGAAAUCGGACCUUUGACUUUCAAAACUGAGGGUAACAAUGGAGGUUUAACUUCUCUUGUUUCCACUUCAUAUUCUUGGACAAAGGUAGCUAGCAUAAUAUUCUUGGAUCAACCUGUUGGGACUGGCUUCUCCUACUCAACAACUCCUCUAGCUGAUAAGCCUAGUGACACAGGAGAAGCAAAGCAGACUUAUGAGUUUCUUCGAAAGUGGCUUGUGGAUCAUCCAGAGUUUGUCUCAAACCCUUUUUAUGUUGGCGGAGAUUCUUAUGCCGGUGUAGUUGUUCCAGCUAUUGUUCAACAGAUCUCAAUAGGAAAUGAGCAUGGUUACAAACCUCUAAUCAAUCUUAAGGGUUAUGUUCUUGGGAACCCGACAACAGAUUAUGAUAGUGAUUAUAACUAUAGGAUUCCAUAUGCUCAUGGAAUGGGACUGAUCUCUGACGAACUCUAUGAGUCGCUUAAGAGAAGCUGCGAAGGAAGUUAUCUAAAAGUAGAUCCUUCUAAUACACAAUGCUUGAAAUUAGUGGAAGACUACGAUAAGUGUAUUUCAAGGAUAAAUCUCGCAUUAAUUUUGACACCAUUGUGUGAUCUUGAAUCGCUGAAUUCGUUUUCAAAAUAUCAUCUUGGAAGAAGAGAUCUUAGGGAACUUGUUCACUCACAUCUUCCUCUUCAACCUCGUGAUUGCUAUUCUUAUCGGUAUUUGCUAGCUACAAAUUGGGCUAAUGAUGAAGAUGUACGCCGAGCACUUCAUGUGGUGAAAGGAAGUAUAGCGAAAUGGGUGAGAUGCGACUGGGAUAUGGCUUAUGAGAAAGAUAUAAAGAGCAGUAUACCGUUUCAUCAAAACAUUAGCAUCAAAGGGAUUUAUAGGUCAUUGGUUUAUAGUGGAGAUCAUGACAUGAUGGUGCCUUUUCUUGGAACUCACGCUUGGAUCAAAUCUCUAAACUAUUCGAUCAUUGAUCACUGGAGGCCAUGGUUUGUUGACAAUCAAGUUAUCGGAUACACAAGGACUUACGCCAACAAUAUGACAUUUGCCACUAUCAAAGGAGGAGGGCACACUGCAGAGUAUAAACCAGAUGAGAGCUUCAUGAUGUUUCAAAAGUGGAUACGUGGUCAACCUCUGUAACAUAGUGAGGUUCAACGAAUACAAACAUCAUGAUAUAUAUAGCUUUAUAAAGAUCAAAUAAUUCACCUUUCUCAGUUCUCUCACGAGGGCGAAGCAUAGAUAGAAUGCUUCCAAACAGCUGCUUCCGGCCUUCACGAGUUUCUGAAUAUUACCGGCCAAACUUCAUUAGAUUUGGUAUUGCUUGGUCCUUAUACCGUAUCAAUGGAGAAAAAAUUAUGCAAGGCAGCUCAUCAAUUGAACCAGUACGUAGUAUCUCCAUUAGCAGCUGAAGCAAGAGCAUUAUUAAGGGCAAUUCAAGAAAUGAGAAUACUAGCUUAUGAAGAAGUCUUGUUUGUUGGGGACAACAAUGUUCUUUUUAGGAGCGUUAAUGCAAUGCACAACUCGAGAAAGAGACAAUAUUGGUGUCACCCAGAUAUAUCAAUAGAAGUCAAAGACAUUGUUAAGAUAUCAUGUAGGGGUAUGAGAUGUUCAUUUAUGUAUGUUAAUCGUAAUGUUGUAUGGGAAGUUGAUAGGCUUGCUAAGAU